rnacentral:tRNA from 1 species
AAGUUAGUAAUUCUUUAAAAAUUCGGCUCAUAACCGAGUGGUCGAAGGUUCGAGUCCUUCAUGACCCACCA